rnacentral:rRNA from 1 species
GACGAACGCUGGCGGCGUGCUUAACACAUGCAAGUCGAACGGAAAGGCCCUGCUUUUGUGGGGUGCUCGAGUGGCGAACGGGUGUGUAACACGCGAGUAACCUGCCCUUGUCUUUGGGAUAACUUUAGGAAACUGGGGCUAAUACCGGAUAGGAGCUCCUGCUGCAUGGUGGGGGUUGGAAAGUUCCGGCGGUUGGGGAUGGACUCGCGGGUUAUCAGCUUGUUGGUGGGGUAGGGGCUUACCAAGGGUUUGACGGGUAGCCGGCCUGAGAGGGUGAACGGGCACAUUGCGACUGAGGGAGGGAGCAGUAUCCUAUGUGGGGCAGCAGUGGAAAGCAUUGCGCAGUGGGCGGACGCGAGAUACAGCAGCCUCGGGUGCGUAAUGCUGGCCUACUGGUGAUGAACCGCUUUCGCCGGUGACGAAGCGUGAGUGACGGUAAUGGGUAAAGAAGCCCCGGCUAACUACGUG